rnacentral:rRNA from 1 species
CCUACGGGCGGCAGCAGUGGGGAAUAUUGGACAAUGGGCGAAAGCCUGAUCCAGCCAUGCCGCGUGUGUGAAGAAGGCCUUCGGGUUGUAAAGCACUUUCAGUGGGGAAGAAAGCCUUGGGGCUAAUACCCUCGAGGAAGGACAUCACCCACAGAAGAAGCACCGGCUAACUCCGUGCCAGCAGCCGCGGUAAUACGGAGGGUGCGAGCGUUAAUCGGAAUUACUGGGCGUAAAGCGCGCGUAGGCGGUCUGAUAAGCCGGUUGUGAAAGCCCCGGGCUCAACCUGGGAACGGCAUCCGGAACUGUCAGGCUAGAGUGCAGGUGAGGAAGGUAGAAUUCCCGGUGUAGCGGUGAAAUGCGUAGAGAUCGGGAGGAAUACCAGUGGCGAAGGCGGCCUUCUGGACUGACACUGACGCUGAGGUGCGAAAGCGUGGGUAGCAAACAGGAUUAGAUACCCCUGUAGUC